rnacentral:tRNA from 1 species
CGGGGCGUAGCGCAGCCCGGCUAGCGCACCUGCUUUGGGAGCAGGGGGUCGGAGGUUCGAAUCCUCUCGCCCCGACCA